GAACAUUCAAUCUCUUAAUGAGGAGAGGCGACUGGUGAAGGUGCACUGCAGUUACAGUGGAGACCCCAGCACAUUUGACAUGCCAGGAGCAUGGGAUCUCCUCUGAGGACAGAAGACACAGUGGAGUUGAGCUUGCCUGAGUCUACAAAGCAAGCCCAGACGAUUUUGUGGUGCUAGCUGCAGUCGUCACAUGCAAUGCUGAUGUGCCAUGCUCUCCAACGAGCCCGCUGCCUCCUGUUUGCUUCUCUCCACUUAAGUUUUGAAACGUCACUGCUUUCUCAAAUCAUCCUUAUAGAAGCUUAAAUUACAUGAGGUGACAUUUGAGCCAAAACCAGAGAAGCAGACAUCAACCCAAGACUUAGAGGAGAGUUCCUUCAGUGUGAAGGUCAGUGGAGCUGGUGAAUUAAAAGAAAAAAAGAAUGUGAUCUUUUAAAAACAGCAUUUUUGCAGAUGAUCAAAUCAAGAUGGAACAUUUGAGGUAGGAAGUAAUGUAACAUGACUGAUGUCCUUGUUAAACUGACUGAGCACAGAGGCCAUCGUUGUGACAGAACUGGCCUAUGUAGCAAGAAUGUGAACACUGGAAUUAGUUAGUUCCAACAUGCAACUACAUGCCCCUAAGGAAAGAAGAUGGCAGCUCCUUUCUCCACGGUGCUUCCUGGAAGAGGAUGUUUGGCUGAUGUGGAUAUUUUGAACUUCCUGCCUGCAGAAUCUUGAGACAAUAAAUUUCUUGUGUUUUGAUC
rnacentral:lncRNA from 1 species